rnacentral:sRNA from 2 species
CGCUGCAGAAUGCUGAGUUCCGUCUGGGUGGACGGGAGCGGGGAAACCAAUUUGUAGGGGCGUAUCGCCGGAAUACCGGCGUAGGGCAAACUCUUCGGCCCGAGCCCGUCAGCUAACCUCGUAAGCACCGAAGGGAAAGCAC